GUCCGCGCCGUAAACGAUGAGUGCUAGCUGCUGGAAAUGUUUACCGUUUCAGUGGCGAAGCUAACGCAUUAAGCACUCCGCCUGGGAAGUAUGGCCGCAAGGCUAAAAACUCAAAGGAAUUGACGGGGGCCCCGCACAAGCGGUGGAGCAUGUGGUUUAAUUCGAAGCAACGCGCAGAACCUUACCCAGGCUUGACAUCCUUGGAACCCGACCGAAACGUUGGGGUGCCCUCUCACGAGGGAGCCAAGUGACAGGUGCUGCAUGGCUGUCGU
rnacentral:rRNA from 1 species